UACGUAGGGUGCGAGCGUUGUCCGGAAUUAUUGGGCGUAAAGAGCUCGUAGGCGGUCUGUCGCGUCGAUCGUGAAAACUUGGGGCUUAACCCUGAGCUUGCGGUCGAUACGGGCAUGACUGGAGCUCGGCAGGGGAGACUGGAAUUCCUGGUGUAGCGGUGAAAUGCGCAGAUAUCAGGAGGAACACCGGUGGCGAAGGCGGGUCUCUGGGCCGAUACUGACGCUGAGGAGCGAAAGCGUGGGGAGCGAACAGG
rnacentral:rRNA from 1 species